rnacentral:lncRNA from 1 species
UAGUGGUUUAACCUUGCCAUAAGUAGAAUCUAGUCAUUAGGUUUUGAUAUUUCUUUUUUGUGGAUUUUAUUUGGAUUAAUAUGAUUAAUGUUGAUUUUAUCAUGAUUAGAACUUAGGUUAAAUUUUCAUUCAAUUUGACUUUUGUAUGGUGAUUUGUAUGAUCAUGUCCGUUAGAUCCCAUUCUUGAAUUUGGAUCAGGAAUUUUCCAUUUUGAUUCAUUUCGAUCUUAAUUCAUGUUUAGGUAGAUUUUUAAUCCUUAGAAUUAAUAUACACUUUAAUUGUCCAUUUAAUCGAUUCAUUUGGUUUAUGAUAAUUUUAAUUAAAUUGAAAAUCCCAUUUCAAUUUAGGGGAAGGAUGUCUUGUAUGUCUAAUUUCAUUUGUCAUGAUCAUAUGAUAGAUCUUUGAUUGUUUUUCAUUGAUUAAUCAAUUACAUUUCAAAUCGAUUUUAACCAUUGAAUAUGUUUACAUCUAUUGUAUCAUUUUCAUCCAUUUGACUUGAUCUCACGCUAACCCGUUUGUUGUUUUGUGUCCACAUGUGAUUUUGAGAUCCAAACUCACUCCUAGCUAGUCAUGCUCCUAACCCAUUCAUUCUCUUUCAAUAGCCUUGUAUUGUUUGAAGUACCAUGCCACUUGUAUGCUUUAGGCAUGGUACAUAGUUUAAUAGUUUAUAAAUUGUAUUUUUUAUUUCAUUCUCUUAUGUUGUAUUGUAUGGAUCCAUCCCCCCAUUGUGGGUUAAAUGUCCCCCCACCCCAUGAUCAUGCAAUAGCUUAGAUUUAUUGCUUUCUAGUUAGUUCACCAUGCAUGUUAAUAACGAAGAUAAAAAUACAAUAUGAUAAACAAAG